rnacentral:rRNA from 1 species
UGGGGAAUCUUGCACAAUGGGCGCAAGCCUGAUGCAGCCAUGCCGCGUGAAUGAUGAAGGCCUUAGGGUUGUAAAAUUCUUUCGCCAGGGAUGAUAAUGACAGUACCUGGUAAAGAAGCCCCGGCUAACUUCGUGCCAGCAGCCGCGGUAAUACGAAGGGGGCUAGCGUUGUUCGGAAUUACUGGGCGUAAAGCGCGCGUAGGCGGAUUAUUAAGUCAGAUGUGAAAUCCCGGGGCUCAACCUCGGAACUGCAUUUGAAACUGAUAAUCUAGAGACCAGGAGAGGUUAGCGGAAUACCGAGUGUAGAGGUGAAAUUCGUAGAUAUUCGGUGGAACACCAGUGGCGAAGGCGGCUAACUGGACUGGUACUGACGCUGAGGUGCGAAAGCGUGGGGAGCAAACAGGAUUAGAUACCCCCGUAGUCC